GCAGUCGAACGGCAGCACGGGAACAAUCCUGGUGGCGAGUGGCGAACGGGUGAGUAAUAUAUCGGAACGUGCCCAAUCGUGGGGGAUAACGCAGCGAAAGCUGUGCUAAUACCGCAUACGAUCUACGGAUGAAAGCGGGGGACUCGCAAGAGCCUCGCGCGAAUGGAGCGGCCGAUAUCAGAUUAGCUAGUUGGUGGGGUAAAAGCUCACCAAGGCGACGAUCUGUAGCUGGUCUGAGAGGACGACCAGCCACACUGGAACUGAGACACGGUCCAGACUCCUACGGGAGGCAGCAGUGGGGAAUUUUGGACAAUGGGCGAAAGCUUGAUCCAGCAAUGCCGCGUGCAGGAUGAAGGCCUUCGGGUUGUAAACUGCUUUUGUACGGAACGAAACGGUCUUUUCUAAUAAAGAGGGCUAAUGACGGUACCGUAAGAAUAAGCACCGGCUAACUACGUGCCAGCAGCCGCGGUAAUACGUAGGGUGCGAGCGUUAAUCGGAAUUACUGGGCGUAAAGCGUGCGCAGGCGGUGAUGUAAGACAGAUGUGAAAUCCCCGGGCUCAACCUGGGACCUGCAUUUGUGACUGCAUCGCUAGAGUACGGUAGAGGGGGAUGGAAUUCCGCGUGUAGCAGUGAAAUGCGUAGAUAUGCGGAGGAACACCGAUGGCGAAGGCGACUUUCUGGACUGUAACUGACGCUGAGGCGCGAAAGCGUGGGGAGCAAACAGGAUUAGAUACCCUGGUAGAAUCACUAGUGAAUUC
rnacentral:rRNA from 1 species